CCCUGGAAGUUCUGUACAAACAGCACUGCAGAUACAUUGCAUGUGUCUGUGGAGGAGUUUUCUGAUGUGAAGCCCAUCACAGCUCCUUAAAUCAUAUUCACUAGGACAGACUUUUCCAUGUCCCACCAGUUCCCAAGACGAUUUUGCAGAAGAAACCCAGAAGGAAUAUUUUGGAUACUUCAGACCUGUUACCUGGAAUUUCCAGGGCUGUGCCUGAGCAGCAGAGUUGCUCCUGGAGCAUUGGUCACCUGGAGGCUGCUGGCACACAUCUUUGUCCCUCACUAGGGCCAUCAGGGAGAGGAGGACCCAGACAACUGCCCAUCUUUCUCUCAGUGGAUUUUUCACUUGUUGCGACUUGUGCUGUUUCUCCACCACUACCAGAGGCACUGAUGACAUCCUGCAUAAAAAUACAAGGUGGGAUACUUUGGGCUGUAUGCUAUGCAUCAGUAUAUAGGAUGACACUUAGAUGGAACUGCGGGGUUUUCACCAACUGGAGGGUGUAGUGGGAGGUGCCAAGCCGUAGUAAAACCAGACCUACUCUUCCCAGAGCUCCGAAGCGUUCUGCCAACAAGUGACAUGUCUCUGCAAACGCUUUGCGUUCUGAUCGUGAGCUGUCAUUGGAAUCGAGGAGAGCACACGUGACUGUAAAGCACGUGCCUCUAGCAUUGACUAAGACUAAUAUGUCAGUUAUUUAUCAAUCUGUGAUGCAUCAAAAGCUGUGGAACCAAAAAAAAUAUUGAACAACUGGGAAUUCUAAAAGCAUUUGCUUCUCGUCCUCGUUCCCACUUGCUUUCUAUUCACAUUACCAUGAGUCAACGUACCACAGACAUGAUUAGGUUUGUGUUUCCCAUCUUAAAUACUUGUCAGCAGUACUGCCAAGAUAAAAAAUAAUAAAUAGAGAAUUGUAGUCA
rnacentral:lncRNA from 1 species